GUUUCUCAAAAUUUUCGUGCUGCCGCUGACCCUGACAGCUUUGAGGAAGACUGGCCAGCUAUUUUAUAGACCAUGCCUCUACUGAAUUCAUCUGAUGUUUUUCUUGUGGUUCCACUGGAGGGGAAAGAUCACAGAAAUGAAGUCCCAUUUUCGUUGGGCUGUAGCAAGGUUUACACGAUCGCCUGGUUUACCGUUUCUGAUGCUGACCUUGACCACUGGCUGAAGUUGUUUGACAGAGGAGGUGAAUACAUACGUGCAUAUCAACGUGUGGGCUUACACAUAUCUACUGAUAUUUCCAUAUGGAAGCUUCCAUAGUCCAGUCAACUAAGUGAAAACCCUGGAUCCCAUCAUGCCUCAGACACUCACUUAAUUGCUCAAAUCUGGGAUAAACAUGUAGCGGCAUCGGAAUUGUGUGUCCGCACCCGUGUGUAAAACAUUGUCGACAGAGUGCAGCGCUUACUGGAGUUACUUUGGUGUUACUCCGGCCGACUCUUCGUUCCCGAAGCUCCUGACUUCAACGUGGUUUGCCCUGAGACC